GGGCCCAUAGCUCAGUUUGGUUAGAGCAAUCGACUCAUAAUCGACAGGCCCCAGGUUCGAAUCCUGGUGGGCCCA
rfam:Coxiella endosymbiont of Amblyomma americanum, complete genome.